GAGAUGGCACUUGCGUUUGAGAGAGCGCGCUCCUCCCCGCCCCUCUCAUAAACACAAGAUGACGCGAGAGAGAUAAAAACGGCCGCCGAUUGGAACUAGUCAGUCAGUUGGCCGAUUGAUCAACUAGGAUUUGCCGUUCAACAUGAUAGUCCAGAUUCGAAGUCAACAACAACUGCCACGCAGACAGAUUUUCUCCGACGCUUUGAAAGACCACGUAGCCGCUAAGCCGCAUGAAUCAGCGGGUGCGAGCGAGAGCGCGCUAGCGGCCGGCGCAUUUCGCAUUUCGAUAUUCGAUUUUUGCCACAUUUUGUUGAGAUUUUCGUGCCUUAUUUUCGAUCUAAGCAUGUACUUACAGAACUCGACCAGCACGAACUCGUUGUCGGCAAUCAGCUGCUUGAAGUUGUCCACAGUCGCCACCAGAACGCCCUCCUCAACUUUGACCUCCGCCUCGGCGGAAGCGGCCACGUAGGACGCCGCCAGGAAAAGUGCACAGAUCAGGAAUUUCAUUGCGGGCACUCGUCGUCGUUUGAUAUUUAAUGAAUCUAUUGCCCUGUGUGGGUGCACACUCGCCAACCAAAACUGGGAUUCGAACUGCGCUGAACUUGCCCGGUUGCAAGUAGAAAUUCAAAUGAA